CUUUAUUUGUAGACUUGAAAGACCCCCGGAGCGAGGAGACCCUCACUCAAGUCUCGGGAUGAUGCGACCCACCAAGAACUCAUGUGAGA
rnacentral:pre_miRNA from 14 species